rnacentral:rRNA from 1 species
AGAGUUUGAUCAUGGCUCAGAACGUACGCUGGCGGCACGCCUUAUACAUGCAAGUCGAACGAAGUAGCAAUACUUAGUGGCAGACGGGUGAGUAACAUGUAGGUAUCUUCCCUUUGGUGAGGAAUAACACGAGGAAACUUGUGCUAAUACCUCAUAAGUCUUUACGGAGAAAGCUUUAUGCGCCAAAGGAUGAGCCUGCAUUUGAUUAGUUUGUUGGUGGGGUAAUGGCCUACCAAGACUUUGAUCAAUAGCUGAUCUGAGAGGAUGAUCAGCCACAUUGGGACUGAGACACGGCCCAAACUCCUACGGGAGGCAGCAGUAGGGAAUAUUGCACAAUGGAGGAAACUCUGAUGCAGCGAUGCCGCGUGAGUGAAGAAGGCCCUUGGGUUGUAAAGCUCUUUCGUCGGGGAAGAAAAUGACUGUACCCGAAUAAGAAGGUCCGGCUAACUUCGUGCCAGCAGCCGCGGUAAUACGAAGGGACCUAGCGUAGUUCGGAAUUACUGGGCUUAAAGAGUUCGUAGGUGGUUAAAAAAGUUGGUGGUGAAAUCCCAGAGCUUAACUCUGGAACUGCCAUCAAAACUUUUUAGCUAGAGUAUGAUAGAGGAAAGCAGAAUUUCUAGUGUAGAGGUGAAAUUCGUAGAUAUUAGAAAGAAUACCAAUUGCGAAGGCAGCUUUCUGGAUCAUUACUGACACUGAGGAACGAAAGCAUGGGUAGCGAAGAGGAUUAGAUACCCUCGUAGUCCAUGCCGUAAACGAUGUGUGUUAGACGUUGGAAAUUUAUU